UACGUAGGGUGCGAGCGUUGUCCGGAAUUAUUGGGCGUAAAGAGCUUGUAGGCGGUUUGUCGCGUCUGCCGUGAAAAUUCGAGGCUCAACCUCGAACUUGCGGUGGGUACGGGCAGACUAGAGUGUGGUAGGGGGGACUGGAAUUCCUGGUGUAGCGGUGAAAUGCGCAGAUAUCAGGAAGAACACCCGUGGCGAAGGCGGCUCUCUGGGACGGUACUGACGCUGAGACGCGAAAGCGUGGGGAGCGAACAGG
rnacentral:rRNA from 1 species